UCUGCUUCACCCCCGCUCUUCCUCAUCCGUUCUCUGUUGAUAUCGCCACACACAGCCAAGGACUCACCGAAUCCACCUCUUCAUCCCUUCUUUCUAUUGAUUUCUUCACCGAAUCGGCCAUGUGGGCGUGCCGAUGCAGGGUAGGGGGGAUUUCCAGAUACUUAUAUAUCUUAUUUUGCCUUCCUAUUGCCUUCAACCUUCAAAUUUCCCAGCCCCUGGGUGUUUUAUAGAAUCUUUUUCUCAUAUUUUCACCGAUAAGGAAGCGGGAAGAACCAAUGUCACCGCUUAUAAUUUCCAUCGAUUGUUUAAAUUGAAAUCUAUUAUGUUGCAGCGGUCAACUAAUUCAAGAUACACGUUCCUGCAGAUAAAGUUUAUGAAAAGGGGGAUUUUCAAGAUUAAGCUCCAGAUCCCGAAAGUAAUUUCAGAGAGACAAAUAGAGAGAUGGGUUUGGUUUGAUUCUUGGUUAUUAUGUAAUCUUUAAGCUCUGUUACAGAAGGGAUAUCAGAUUCGGUCACAACCCAAAUCGAACAGGAACCCACUUUCAAAAAAGAUUUAAUCGUUGAUUCCAUCAGACAUCAAAUGGUUGUUGACGAAAUGCUCAUAACAUCACUUUCUGGCACCUUACGAUCCCCAACAGAUACAAUGGGAAAAGUUUUGGAAUGAAAAUGGUUGAAAGUAGAAUUAAUAGUGUAGUGGUUGACAAAUUUUGUUUAUAUCAUAUGGAUUAACAUUUCUUCAAUUAAACAAGAAAGCUUACUUUUUUCAUUUAUUCUAUUCAGGUUGGAACAGUUGGAGAGGCGAUUGAAAUUGAAUUCGGUGACUUUGAGCCUAAUUUUGUAUAUCAAAUUGCCCCUGUUAAGAUUAAUCCCUCAUUGUGGGUUGCGAAUUUGGUGAAGAAGCUUAAAGAUAUCUAAUUUGUACAAACAAUACACUGAGAAGCUUCUACAAUCUGCUGAAGUUUAUCGUUGUUUUUGCUCAAAUGAGGAACUUGAACAAAUGAAAAAAAAUUGCAAAGGAAAAACAACUACCUCCUGUAUACAGUGGAGAGUGGGCCCAUGCUACAGAUGAAGAAGUUCAACAGGAGUUAUAAAAAAGAACUCCAUAUCCUUACAGAUUCUGUGUCCCUAAAGAAGGGAAUUUAAAAAUUAACGACUUGAUUAGAGGAGAGGCAAUUCAUUUUUAUAAUAAAAUUAAUUUAAUACCUUAUUAGACAUUAAAAGUUUGAUAUUGUUUAAUGAUGUUGUGUAAAGGUUAGCUGGAAUCUAGACACACUUGGCGAUUUUUUAACUAUGAGAAGUAAUGGACAACCCCUUUAUAAUUUUUUGUCGAUUCUAACAUAUUUUGACCAAACUGCCCCUGCAUACCGUUUCUAUAGUUAAAAAGUUUUACUUUAAGAUUUUUCGACCAAACUACCCUUGCAUGUUGUUUUUAAACUUAAAAAAAAAAUUAAUUUUAAUAGUUUGGACCAAUGCGCUCCUGCAUACUAUUUUUAUAGUUACAAAAAUUUGAUUUUAACAGUUUUGGACCAAAAUGCUCCUACAUAAGGGAUAACAACGGUUUAAUAUUAUUUUGGAAUGAUAUUAUUUUGGAAUGAAAAACUUUACAAAAUAGAAUGAUUCAUUUGUGAAAUAAUGGGACUCAUUUCAUUUGAUUGAUUCUCAAUCCAGGCGUAGAUGGUGUUUUUUAGGUGAUGUUUAUAAAAUUAUGAAAUAAAUAACAAAUAUUCAUAAAAAAUUAAUUGAAGUUAAUUGAUAUUGAAUGAGUUUUUAUAAAUUUUCAUAAUCUAAAAAUAUGGUAAACUUGAUAACCCAUGUUGGCCUUCAAUU